rnacentral:tRNA from 1 species
GCAUCAUUGGUAUAGUGGUAGAACUCUGGCUUCCCAAGCCGGCGACGCGGGUUCGAUUCUACCUUUCUUUUGCAAAAGAAAGGUACAGUAUCAAAGAAAAGCAGAUUGCAAAUCCCGCAUGAUGCA